rnacentral:rRNA from 1 species
CCUACGGGUGGCAGCAGUGAGGAAUAUUGGUCAAUGGACGAGAGUCUGAACCAGCCAAGUAGCGUGAAGGAUGACUGCCCUAUGGGUUGUAAACUUCUUUUAUAAAGGAAUAAAACGAGGCACGUGUGCCUUUUUGCAUGUACUUUAUGAAUAAGGAUCGGCUAACUCCGUGCCAGCAGCCGCGGUAAUACGGAGAAUCCGAGCGUUAUCCGGAUUUAUUGGGUUUAAAGGGAGCGUAGAUGGGUUGUUAAGUCAGUUGUGAAAGUUUGCGGCUCAACCGUAAAAUUGCAAUUGAUACUGGCAGUCGUGAGUACAGUUGAGGUAGGCGGAAUUCGUGGUGUAGCGGUGAAAUGCUUAGAUAUCACGAAGAACCCCGAUUGCGAAGGCAGCUUACUAAACUGUGACUGACAUUGAUGCUCGAAAGUGUGGGUAUCAAACAGGAUUAGAUACCCCAGUAGUC